rnacentral:lncRNA from 1 species
ACACUGAGAGAGAAAUCGUCCACGUUAAAACACGAUGAAAUAUGCAGAAAAAUCUCCAUAGUAAUGAAUUGAUGGAUCAGCUGGCACCACCAGACUGAU